rnacentral:lncRNA from 1 species
AAAGAUGGGGUCUCACUAUGUUGCCCAGGUUGGUCUUGAACUCCUGGGCUCAAAUGGUCCUCCCACCUCAGCCCUCCUUAGUAGCUGCGAUUACAGGUGUGCACCACCAUCCCCAUCAUCCCCACCACAUGAUAACUCUUUUUUUUUUUUUCUGAGGUGGAGUCUCGCUUUGUUGCCCGGGCUGGAGUGCAGUGGUGCGUUCUCAGCUCACUUCAACCUCUGCCUCCGGGGUUCAUGCCAUUCUCCUGCCUCAGGCUCCCAAGUAGCUGGGACUACAGGCACUGCCACCACGCCUGGCUAAUUUUUUGUAUUUUUAGUAGAGACGGGGUUUCACCAUGUUAGCCAGGAUGGUCUUAAUCUCCUGACCUCCUGAUCUGCCCACCUCGGCCUCCCAAGUGCUGGGAUUACAGGCGUGAACCACCGUGCCCGGCCGAUAACUCUUAAUAAAGUAUAAAUGUAAACUCUUUUCCUUUGCCUAUUCCCAAAAAAGAAACUUGAAGAAUACACUGGCCGGGUGUGAUGGCUCACGCCUUUAAUCCUAGCACUUUGGGAGGCUGAGGUGGGCGGAUCACUUGAGCCCAGGAGUUUGAGACCAGCCUGGGCAAUAGUGAGGACACCCGAUCGUCAUUCACUAAUACAGUAUAUCUAAAUGUCUUGUUUUCGGAGUAAGGGAUCGAAACUUGCUCUUUUAGGUACUACACCAAAUUAUUAACCUGCCUUUUCGAGUAGCCCAAUAAUUAUUCUAACACGUAAUUUUGAACUUUAGGAAUUUCUCUUCUGGAACAGAAAUCUUUUUCAUCGCAGUGAAAGCAGGCAAGAGGAUGCGGGAAAUUAUCGGGGGGAAACAUAAGUUCUGGGUCUUAUCGGAUGUCACAGCUUUUGACCAGAGCAUCAGGAAAGCGAAGCCACCAACGCGGCUCC